GACAGAGGGUGCAAACGUUGUUCGGGAUUACUGGGCGUAAAGCGUGUGUAGGCGGCUUUGCAAGUCGGAUGUGAAAGCCCCGGGCUCAACCCGGGAAGUGCACUCGAUACUGCGGAGCUUGAGUGUCGGAGAGGUUGGUGGAAUUCUCGGUGUAGAGGUGAAAUUCGUAGAUAUCGAGAGGAACACCGGUGGCGAAGGCGGCCAACUGGACGAACACUGACGCUGAGACACGAAAGCGUGGGGAGCAAACAGG
rnacentral:rRNA from 1 species